GCUUCCCUGGCUCCCCUGCCAUCCUUGUCACAGCACGAGCUCAGUCCCCCGUACGUGCGCUCGGCGAAUCUGGCCGCUCGUCAGCCGCACGCCGAGGCGGUUGCGAUUCGGUCCCCGAUCGAACCCGGCACAGCAAAAUCCCCACCGAAAAGAUGUCCCGAAGAUUCCCGGAGCUGGCGUCGGUGGGUGGGUGGAGCAGGCGGCGACGACGGCAGCGCCGUGGGUGGGUCUAAGCCCCGCGGCGGCGGCGGCGGCGGACCGGCGGCAGCUAGCCCGGCCUAUCGCCCCCCGUGUUCCGCGUAAGUUUAAGAAAAUUGCAGUACCCCUCUAUUUUGUUCUGGCAAGCCACAAGCGCGCAAGGAAUGAUGAAUAUGGGGAAAUGUGAUGAAGUCCUCGGACUGCUGGAUGUUGCAUUGGAGAUUUUCCUGUACUACACUAUUCAGGAUCAGCUCACCAGCAACCAGCAUCUAUUCUUCAAUGCAGCCAGACAGAUUUACAAUCAGGGAAUGGAACAACAAACUUACACAACUUACAGAGGUACAACACAUAUCUACCACCCAUGAAGGGCGUAACCAUCCUACAUGCGAGAAGCACCAAAUAGACAUACAUCUGCUGGAUUAGUCAGUUUCUUUCCAUCGGAUGGCAUGGAUAGAAGAUAUGUAUAUAAUUUUAUCUCCUUGGAGGCUAGGGAUAUUCAACUGAACCUAACUCAUGAACUCACUGCUGUUCCGAGAACUCACAAUUGUGGUGCGAGGAACUCAGUCGAUCAUUUUAUUCCAGCCUUGCUCUGUAAUUCUCUGAAAGCAUUCGUGCUGCAAUGGAUUAGGCCGCGUAAAUUUACGUUCUGUCCAGAGAUCAACGGGUUAAAUUUUACUUUUGCUCACAUCACUGUGAUGCAAGCUCUUAGUAUAUGUUGCCACCAUUUCUCAUAUUUGCAUUGGUAAAAUUUGCAGGUCGUAACUCUGGUAGGCCUUGAUGUUAGGUGCCUGAGGGGCGUACUGCCAAGUUCUUUAUAUCUGAAAGGGACCUGUGUAGGCAUGACCCCAUACAGUACCGCCUCUACACAUUACUAUCACACAGUAACUUGCACCACUAACUGACGAACCCCCAAUAGCAACUCACAUAAAGCCAAUGCUUUCCCCUUCCCCUCUCCGCCUCUUCUCCACCCCUGCUUCUGCUGCUGCUGCUGAUUGUGGAGAAGAUGACAGCCAGUGUCGGUGUCGGUGGUGACAUCCACUUCUGAAGAUUAACAGCCAUUUCUGUUGCAUUUUGAACUCCACCCCAAUGUGCAGGCUCCAGAACCUGUACCACGUUGUUCAUUUAUUUGAUUACUAUCGUUUAAAGAAAAUUCAUUUGUUCCAUUAUGUAUGGGUGACAUCCAUAAAAAAAAAAUCAAUUUUUCCUGACUUGAUAUGCUGUUUAGUCCCCUCUGUUAACCAUGAUAAUGUUUGGGCAGAAUGUGAGGAGAUAUGAAGCUUGGCGGUCGAUGAUCGUGAUGAGAUGAAAUACAGGAGGGAGCUCAGAUUCCAGUUUGAACCAAGUAUAAUUCCCCCAAGCUUGGUGUGGACCUGUUGGUGUCUUCAGUCUUUUAACCCUUUAUCACCGAGCAAGUGAGCAACCUGGUUUCUUCAGAAACCCUGGGCCUUACAACAGGUGACAGAUAAAGUUAAAGCCUUUUACUAGUUCUUUUUCUCCCUUUUGGAUACAGGACAUGACCCAUGACAUAAUCUGGGUUUUGCAAUUUGAUGAUGAUGCGGUACCCUCUUGGCUGUAGGCCUGUCUGUCUGAACUCUAGAGGAUAUUACUAAUUUCUUCAGUAAUCCUCAGACGGGAGCUCGUUGUUAAGAUGUACUGGAAUUGUAAAAUGGAGUUGUAUGAUUCAGUCAGCCUGGACUCACGCGAUCGACCGAGGGACUUGAAAGAACCGCCUCGAGAGCGACAGGGCAACGCGUGAAGAGAAAGAAAAAGCAAGG